rnacentral:rRNA from 1 species
CUACGGGCGGCACCAGCAAGGAAUAGUAGGCAAUGGGGGAAACCCUGACCUCGCGACGCCGCGUGAGGGAUGAAGGCUUUCGGGUCGUAAACCUCUUUUUUCAGGGAUGAAUAAUGACAGUACCUGAAGAAUAAGUCACGGCUAACUACGUGCCAGCAGCCGCGGGUAAAACGUAGGUGGCGAACGUUAUCCGGAUUUACUGGGCGUAAAGAGUGCGUAGGCGGCUUUUCAAGUCGGAUGUAAAAUCUCCCGGCCUAACUGGGAGCGACCAUUCGAUACUGUUGAGCUAGAGUGCAGCAGAGGAGAGUGGAAUUCCCGGUGUAGUGGUGGAAUGCGUAGAUAUCGGGAGGAACACCAGUGGCGAAAGCGGCUCUCUGGGAUGUAACUGACGCUGUUGCACGAAAGCGUGGGUAGCAAACAGGAUUAGAUACCCCGGUAGUC